CUGGAAGGGUAUGCUUUACUUUAAGGAAUCAAGCUCAACUUGCAGAGCCGAUAAAAGCCCCUUGGGAAAACUGGCUUCAUAUCUUGUCCACAUGGUCCCCCUACAGGCCUCCUAACCAGUGGCCAUCAAACUCCAAAUGGUCAUGCAACUAGAACCUUAAACAAUGGGCUUCCUUUUCCCUGGGACAGUUAGUUAGGCCUCUGAGUGAGAUCUGACUGUUGCCUUCCCAAAACACUGCAUCCUGUCAGCAGAAAGCAGUUAAGAUAGGUCUUCAUCCCUGCGCUAAUGGAAGUUAGACCUACCCCUUUAGAGAAGGGAAUGAUAGAUGCGGGAGACAGAUGAGAGAACCUGCACAGGGUAUUGCUUUGGCAUGCCUGCAAUGGACGAUGGACCUACAUGUGCACUGGGAGAACGAGGUGGAGCCAUCAGGAAUUUUUGUCUUUUUCAGGGGGAAGAGCUGGCCUCUUCA
rnacentral:lncRNA from 10 species